rnacentral:rRNA from 1 species
GGCGGACGGGUGAGUAAUGCUUGGGAAUAUGCCUUAUGGUGGGGGACAACAGUUGGAAACGACUGCUAAUACCGCAUGAUGUCUACGGACCAAAGUGGGGGACCUUCGGGCCUCACGCCAUAAGAUUAGCCCAAGUGGGAUUAGCUAGUUGGUGAGGUAAUGGCUCACCAAGGCGACGAUCCCUAGCUGGUUUGAGAGGAUGAUCAGCCACACUGGGACUGAGACACGGCCCAGACUCCUACGGGAGCCAGCAGUGGGGAAUAUUGCACAAUGGGCGCAAGCCUGAUGCAGCCAUGCCGCGUGUGUGAAGAAGGCCUUCGGGUUGUAAAGCACUUUCAGUAAGGAGGAAAGGUUAAGUGUUAAUAGCACUUAGCUGUGACGUUACUUACAGAAGAAGCACCGGCUAACUCCGUGCCAGCAGCCGCGGUAAUACGGAGGGUGCGAGCGUUAAUCGGAAUUACUGGGCGUAAAGCGUAC